UAAUCAAAGGAGAAAUCCGCUAUGGGAUGGGCCCGCGUCUGAUUAGCUAGUUGGUGAGGUAACGGCUCACCAAGGCGACGAUCAGUAGCCGACCUGAGAGGGUGAUCGGCCACACUGGAACUGAGACACGGUCCAGACUCCUACGGGAGGCAGCAGUGGGGAAUAUUGCACAAUGGGGGAAACCCUGAUGCAGCAACGCCGCGUGAAGGAAGAAGGUCUUCGGAUUGUAAACUUCUUUGAUCGGGGACGAAUAAUGACGGUACCCGAAAAACAAGCCACGGCUAACUACGUGCCAGCAGCCGCGGUAAUACGUAGGUGGCAAGCGUUGUCCGGAAUUAUUGGGCGUAAAGGGCGCGUAGGCGGCCUGAUAAGUCAGAUGUGAAAUCCCGAGGCUCAACCUCGGACUGGCAUUUGAAACUGUCGGGCUAGAGUGCAGGAGAGGAAAGUGGAAUUCCUAGUGUAGCGGUGAAAUGCGUAGAGAUUAGGAGGAACACCAGUGGCGAAGGCGACUUUCUGGACUGUAACUGACGCUGAGGCGCGAAAGCGUGGGGAGCAAACAGGAUUAGAUACCCUGGUAGUCCACGCUGUAAACGAUGGAUACUAGGUGUGGGAGGUAUCGACCCCUUCCGUGCCGCAGUAGACGCAAUAAGUAUCCCGCCUGGGGAGUACGGCCGCAAGGUUGAAACUCAGAGGAAUUGACGGGGGCCCGCACAAGCAGCGG
rnacentral:rRNA from 1 species